AAAAGGUACUCCGGGGAUAACAGGCUGAUUCCGCCCAAGAGUUCAUAUCGACGGCGGAGUUUGGCACCUCGAUGUCGGCUCAUCACAUCCUGGGGCUGUAGUCGGUCCCAAGGGUAUGGCUGUUCGCCAUUUAAAGUGGUACGUGAGCUGGGUUUAAAACGUCGUGAGACAGUUUGGUCCCUAUCUGCAGUGGGCGUUGGAAGUUUGACGGGGGCUGCUCCUAGUACGAGAGGACCGGAGUGGACGAACCUCUGGUGUACCGGUUGUGACGCCAGUCGCAUCGCCGGGUAGCUAAGUUCGGAAGAGAUAAACGCUGAAAGCAUCUAAGCGUGAAACUCGCCUGAAGAUGAGACUUCCCUAGGGAUUUAAUCCCUCUGAAGAGACGUUCGAGACCAGGACGUUGAUAGGUCGGGUGUGGAAGAGUGGUAACACUUGGAGCUAACCGAUACUAAUUGCUCGUGAGGCUUGACUCUAU
rnacentral:rRNA from 1 species